rnacentral:rRNA from 1 species
AACGAACGCUGGCGGCAUGCCUAACACAUGCAAGUCGAACGAGAUCUUCGGGUCUAGUGGCGCACGGGUGCGUAACGCGUGGGAAUCUGCCCUUUGGUUCGGAAUAACAGUUGGAAACGACUGCUAAUACCGGAUGAUGACGAAAGUCCAAAGAUUUAUCGCCAGAGGAUGAGCCCGCGUAGGAUUAGCUAGUUGGUGUGGUAAAGGCGCACCAAGGCGACGAUCCUUAGCUGGUCUUAGAGGAUGAUCAGCCACACUGGGACUGAGACACGGCCCAGACUCCUACGGGAGGCAGCAGUGGGGAAUAUUGGACAAUGGGCGAAAGCCUGAUCCAGCAAUGCCGCGUGAGUGAUGAAGGCCUUAGGGUUGUAAAGCUCUUUUACCUGGGAUGAUAAUGACAGUACCAGGAGAAUAAGCCCCGGCUAACUCCGUGCCAGCCGCCGCUGUAA